ACACUGCUGUGGAGUCCCACAAUAGGACGAAACGGCCGUCCAGUGC
rnacentral:hammerhead_ribozyme from 1 species